GUCUCACAGUAGCAUCAAAGGCUUGUCUAUCUCCAUCAAGCUAAGAAAAAAAAUUGACAAGGAACUUGUCUUACAUUCUCUUGUGAAGGAACUUCACCGGAUAGCAUGCAGUCUUCUCAAUAUUGUGUAAUGUCAAUGCUCCUUAAUUAAACAGCUUUCAAAGAAUAUGAAUACCAACAACACCUGCAACUUUAUUAAGAAUUUAGGGAUCAGUUUCUUAACAAAUUUUAGUGCUAAAAAGGCAUAAGCAAUGAAAACGGCUCUAUCAAUUUUGCAGUGCUGGACAGAAUAUAAUAACUGCAAUGUAACAGUGAUCAAAAGUGAAUCAUGCAAGCUAAUAGUGUGCAUAUAUAUUUAAUUUUUUUUUCUUAACUGAAAGCUGAUAAACUAUCUCCAUGAUUUGGGCAGACUGGAUGAACUAAAUAUUUUGAAAAUGUCUUGAAAUGUUUCACUGGAUUUUGAUUACCAGACAAGGACUGCUUCAGGGCAGCAAAUGAAAGGUCUGAAAAUACUAAAUGCACUUCCAGGAUGCCGUUCUUGAGUUUGUUUUUUUUCCAGGGGUUGGGAAGGCAUCCAUCUCCCUAGUAAGAGCUUCUGACUUUAAACAUAGUGAGUGCUGUCAUUGGAGGAAAGAAUGUUGUCAUCCCCCCUUAACCACCACUGAGCAGUUUCCAAGUUGUUAAAGGCUAGAAAUGAAUGUCUGAAGUCUUGUUUGCACCUGGGAACAAAAGAUUGGCAAAAUUAAAAUACACUGCUUGUGUGA